rnacentral:lncRNA from 1 species
UUGGCUAUGAAGAAGACUUGAGGUGGAUAGCUCUCUAUCUUUUAAGGUGAAAAUCAUGCAAUUUUGUUUAUAUCUCGAGAGAAAGAGGCUGUGAGUGUUGCUGGAGGGCUCGGGAAGGUCUCUGGAUGCCAGUGAGACCCCAGCCCCAGCCGGUUUUCCAGGUUCUUGACAGCAUCACAAGAACGAAUUCAGGGGGGAGUCGAGUCAGAAUGAAGCGCAAGGCGAGAAGCUUCCAUUGCAAAGCGAAAGUGUGCUCUUGAGAGGAGCGUAGCCAUGCCCGUGAGAACAAGUCAGGCACAACGGAGGCUGGGUUUCUUAUUUUAGGGAUGUUUCUUUCUCUUUCUUUCUUUCUAUUUCUUUCUUUCUUUCUUUCUUUCUUUCUUUCUUUCUUUCUUUCUUUCUUUCUUUCUUUCUUUCCUUUCUUUCUUUCUUUCUUCUUUCUUUCUUUCUUUCUGUCUUUUUUUUUUGAGACGGAGUCUCUCUUUCGCCCAGGCUGGAGUUCAGUGGCGCGAUCUCGGCUCACUGCAAGCUCCGCCUCCCGGGUUCACGCCAUUCUCCUGCCUCAGCCUCCCGAGUAGCGGGGACUACAGGCGCCGGCCACCACACCCGGCUGAUAUUUUGUAUUUUUUAGUAGAGACAGGGUUUCACCGUGUUAGCCAGGAUGGUCUCGAUCUCCUGACCUCCUGAUCUGCCUGCCUCAUCCUCCCAAAGUGCUGGGAUUACAGGUGUGAGCCACCGCGCCCAGCCCGGAUGUUUCUUUAAUAAGGGGGUGGAAUGCUCAUUAGGUAUUCUGGAAAAGGAGGGGAUUUCAGGGACUCCUCCCCGCUCCUGUUAUUGCCUCCUUUCUCCCUUAUUUGGGUUUACCUGGAAGAGUCAUGGCCUUGGUGGGUGCAGGAAGCAUAGCUGUGAUGCAAGAAGCAUGGCCUUGGUGAGUGCUGGAGUAUGUUCUCUAAAGACACUGUGAACACUAUUAGCCCAUACUGAACCACUGCUCCUGGAGAAAUACAGGGUUAGCUUCCACGCCUCUGAUCACUACAUUUUUGUCAUCCAACCAAUACAUAUUUUUGUUUUAUGUGUUUUUAUCUACAGACACCUUGUUUAAUAUACGUUUCUUACCAAUAGUUAACUGUAUGUAUUAUUCUUUAUAAUAAAACUCAAGCUGGGAAG